UACGGAGGGAGCUAGCGUUGUUCGGAAUUACUGGGCGUAAAGGGUGCGUAGGUGGCGGGGUAAGUCAGGUGUGAAAUCUCGGGGCUCAACCCCGAAACUGCACUUGAUACUGCCUUGCUCGAGUACUGGAGAGGAGAUUGGAAUUUACGGUGUAGCAGUGAAAUGCGUAGAUAUCGUAAGGAAGACCAGUGGCGAAGGCGAAUCUCUGGACAGUUACUGACACUGAGGCACGGAGGCCAGGGGAGCAAACGGG
rnacentral:rRNA from 1 species